rfam:Myotis davidii contig37258, whole genome shotgun sequence.
GGCAGUUCCUGGGUGAUGCACCCCAGAAUUGGGCUCCCUCCUCUCUGGUUCCCAGUGCAUCACUCGAGAACUGCA